rnacentral:rRNA from 1 species
AUAAUGGGUCAGCGACUUAUAUUCUGUAGCAAGGUUAACCGAAUAGGGGAGCCGAAGGGAAACCGAGUCUUAACUGGGCGUUAAGUUGCAGGGUAUAGACCCGAAACCCGGUGAUCUAGCCAUGGGCAGGUUGAAGGUUGGGUAACACUAACUGGAGGACCGAACCGACUAAUGUUGAAAAAUUAGCGGAUGACUUGUGGCUGGGGGUGAAAGGCCAAUCAAACCGGGAGAUAGCUGGUUCUCCCCGAAAGCUAUUUAGGUAGCGCCUCGUGAAUUCAUCUCCGGGGGUAGAGCACUGUUUCGGCAAGGGGGUCAUCCCGACUUACCAACCCGAUGCAAACUGCGAAUACCGGAGAAUGUUAUCACGGGAGACACACGGCGGGUGCUAACGUCCGUCGUGAAGAGGGAAACAACCCAGACCGCCAGCUAAGGUCCCAAAGUCAUGGUUAAGUGGGAAACGAUGUGGGAAGGCCCAGACAGCCAGGAUGUUGGCUUAGAAGCAGCCAUCAUUUAAAGAAAGCGUAAUAGCUCACUGGUCGAGUCGGCCUGCGCGGAAGAUGUAACGGGGCUAAACCAUGCACCGAAGCUGCGGCAGCGACGCUGAUGCGUUGUUGGGUAGGGGAGCGUUCUGUAAGCCUGCGAAGGUGUGCUGUGAGGCAUGCUGGAGGUAUCAGAAGUGCGAAUGCUGACAUAAGUAACGAUAAAGCGGGUGAAAAGCCCGCUCGCCGGAAGACCAAGGGUUCCUGUCCAACGUUAAUCGGGGCAGGGUGAGUCGACCCCUAAGGCGAGGCCGAAAGGCGUAGUCGAUGGGAAACAGGUUAAUAUUCCUGUACUUGGUGUUACUGCGAAGGGGGGACGGAGAAGGCUAUGUUGGCCGGGCGACGGUUGUCCCGGUUUAAGCGUGUAGGCUGGUUUUCCAGGCAAAUCCGGAAAAUCAAGGCUGAGGCGUGAUGACGAGGCACUACGGUGCUGAAGCAACAAAUGCCCUGCUUCCAGGAAAAGCCUCUAAGCAUCAGGUAACAUCAAAUCGUACCCCA